AAAUUAAAAAUUAAUCAAUUUAUAUUGUUAAUAAAAAAAUUUUUAAAUAUUUAAAUUUUAGUAUAUUUAUAGAAAAAAUUAAAAUUUUUAUAGUUAAUUAGUAUUGUGAAAGAAUUUUGAAAUAUUUUAAAUAAAAAUUUAUAAAAAAGUAAUUUUUAUUUAAUGUAUCUUGUGUAUCAGAGUUUAUUAAUUUAUUAUAUUAGUUUUAAUAAUUCUCGAAUUUAAAAGAAAUAAUUAGUUAAAAAAGUUAUUGUGAUAAAAAUAUUUUUAAUAAUUAAUUUGAAAUGAAAUGUUAUUCGUUUUUAAAAAUAUCUAGUUUUUUUAGAAAAAAAUUUAAUUUUAUAAUAUUUUAUAAUUUAAUUAAUUUUUUUAAUUGAAUUUUAUUUUGUUGUUAAUAAUUUAAGGGAUAAGCUUUAAAUUAAAUUUUUAUAAUUUUAUUUUAUUAUUUAAUAAAAUUUUUAUGAUUUAUAUUGUCAAUAAAUUUUAAUUUAUUAUAAAUAAUUUUAUUUAUUUUAUAAAAUUUUAUUUUGAUUUAAUUUUAUAUAAAAAAAAAUUUUUUAAUUAAUAUUAUUUUAUUAUAAUGAUAAAAUUAGUAUAUUAAUUGGAAUAAUUUUAUUAUUUUAAUAAUAAUUAAUAAAAAGGAAUUCGGCAAAAUUUAUUUUCACUUGUUUAAUAAAAACAUGUCUUUUUGUAAAUAAUUUAAAGUCUAAUCUGCCCACUGAUGUUUAAUUAAAGGGCUGCAGUAUAUUGACUGUACAAAGGUAGCAUAAUCAUUAGUCUCUUAAUUGGUGACUUGUAUGAAAGAUUGGAUGAAAUGUUAACUGUCUCUUUAUUAUUAUAUAAAAUUUAAUUUUUUAAUUAAAAAGUUAAAAUAUUUUAAAAAGACGAGAAGACCCUAUAGAGUUUUAUAAUUUUUUUUGUUUAGAUUAUUUAUUAAAUGAAUAUAUUUAAAUGUAAAAUAUUAUUUUAUUGGGGUGAUAAAAAAAUUAAAUUAACUUUUUUAUUUAAUUAACAAAAAUAAUUGAUUUUUUGAUCCAAUUUUAUUGAUUAUAAGAAAAAAUUACCUUAGGGAUAACAGCGUAAUUUUUUUUUCUAGUUCUUAUAGGAAAAAAAGUUUGCGACCUCGAUGUUGGAUUAAGAUAAAAUUUAAAAGCAGAAUUUUAAAAUUUUGAUCUGUUCGAUCAUUAAAAUCUUACAUGAUCUGAGUUUAAACCGGUGUAAGCCAGGUUGGUUUCUAUCUUUUAGUAAAUAAAAUAUUUUAGUACGAAAGGAUUAAAUAUUUAAAUUAAAUUUAUUUUAUGAUUUUUAUUAAUGUAUAUAUAUAUAUAUAUAUAUAUAAUUGUAUAAUUUAUUAUUUUUUGAAU
rnacentral:rRNA from 1 species